CGAGGUGCAAGCGUUAAUCGGAUUACUGGCGUAAGCGCGCGUAGGUGGCUUGAUAAGUUGGAUGUGAAUCCCGGGCGUCAACCUGGGAACUGCAUCCAAACUGUCUGGCUAGAGUGCGGUAGAGGGUAGUGGAAUUUCCAGUGUAGCGGUGAAAUCGCGUAGAUAUUGGAAGGAACACCAGUGGCGAAGGCGACUACCUGGACUUGACACUGACACUGAGGUGCGAAAGCCGUGGGAGCAAACAGGAUU
rnacentral:rRNA from 1 species